CCUACGGGAGGCAGCAGUGAGGAAUAUUGGUCAAUGGACGCAACUCUGAACCAGCCAAGUAGCGUGCAGGAUGACGGCCCUACGGGUUGUAAACUUCUUUUAUAAAGGAAUAAACUGAGGCACGUGUGCCUUUUUGCAUGUACUGUAUGAAUAAGGAUCGGCUAAUUCCGUGCCAGCAGCCGCGGUAAUACGGAGGGUCCGGGCGUUAUCCGGAUUUAUUGGGUUUAAAGGGAGCGUAGACGGGUCGUUAAGUCAGUUGUGAAAUGUCGCGGCUCAACCGUGCAAUGGCAGUGGAUACUGGGAGGCUUGAGUGCAGCUGAGGUAGGCGGAAUUCGUGGUGUAGCGGUGAAAUGCUUAGAUAUCACGAAGAACUCCGAUUGCGAAGGCAGCCUACUGAAGCGUUACUGACGCUGAGGCUCGAAAGUGCGGGUAUCAAACAGGAUUAGAUACCCGGGUAGUC
rnacentral:rRNA from 1 species